rnacentral:rRNA from 1 species
UUGGUCAGGUUGAAGUUCAGGUAACACUGAAUGGAGGACCGAACCGACUUACGUUGAAAAGUGAGCGGAUGAACUGAGGGUAGCGGAGAAAUUCCAAUCGAACUUGGAGAUAGCUGGUUCUCUCCGAAAUAGCUUUAGGGCUAGCCUCAAGUGAUGAUUAUUGGAGGUAGAGCACUGUUUGGACGAGGGGCCCCUCUCGGGUUACCGAAUUCAGACAAACUCCGAAUGCCAAAUAAUUUAACUUGGGAGUCAGAAUGUGGGUGAUAAGGUCCAUAUUCGAAAGGGAAACAGCCCAGACCACCAGCUAAGGUCCCAAAAUAUAUGUUAAGUGGAAAAGGAUGUGGCGUUGCCCAGACAACUAGGAUGUUGGCUUAGAAGCAGCCAUCAUUUAAAGAGUGCGUAAUAGCUCACUAGUCGAGUGACACUGCGCCGAAAAUGUACCGGGGCUAAACAUAU